rnacentral:miRNA from 1 species
UGCCUCCUCCGUGGCCUCAG